AAGAAGCUUGCUUCUUUGCCGGCGAGCGGCGGACGGGUGAGUAAUGUCUGGGGAUCUGCCCGAUGGAGGGGGAUAACUACUGGAAACGGUAGCUAAUACCGCAUAACGUCGCAAGACCAAAGUGGGGGACCUUCGGGCCUCACACCAUCGGAUGAACCCAGAUGGGAUUAGCUAGUAGGCGGGGUAAUGGCCCACCUAGGCGACGAUCCCUAGCUGGUCUGAGAGGAUGACCAGCCACACUGGAACUGAGACACGGUCCAGACUCCUACGGGAGGCAGCAGUGGGGAAUAUUGCACAAUGGGGGAAACCCUGAUGCAGCCAUGCCGCGUGUGUGAAGAAGGCCUUCGGGUUGUAAAGCACUUUCAGCGGGGAGGAAGGGGGUAAGGUUAAUAGCCUUAUUCAUUGACGUUACCCGCAGAAGAAGCACCGGCUAACUCCGUGCCAGCAGCCGCGGUAAUACGGAGGGUGCAAGCGUUAAUCGGAAUGACUGGGCGUAAAGCGCACGCAGGCGGUCUGUUAAGUUGGAUGUGAAAUCCCCGGGCUUAACCUGGGAACUGCAUUCAAGACUGGCAGGCUAGAGUCUCGUAGAGGGGGGUAGAAUUCCAGGUGUAGCGGUGAAAUGCGUAGAGAUCUGGAGGAAUACCGGUGGCGAAGGCGGCCCCCUGGACGAAGACUGACGCUCAGGUGCGAAAGCGUGGGGAGCAAACAGGAUUAGAUACCCUGGUAGUCCACGCCGUAAACGAUGUCGACUUGGAGGCUGUGGUCUUGAACCGUGGCUUCCGGAGCUAACGCGUUAAGUCGACCGCCUGGGGAGUACGGCCGCAAGGUUAAAACUCAAAUGAAUUGACGGGGGCCCGCACAAGCGGUGGAGCAUGUGGUUUAAUUCGAUGCAACGCGAAGAACCUUACCUACUCUUGACAUCCACGGAAUUUGGCAGAGAUGCCUUAGUGCCUUCGGGAACCGUGAGACAGGUGCUGCAUGGCUGUCGUCAGCUCGUGUUGUGAAAUGUUGGGUUAAGUCCCGCAACGAGCGCAACCCUUAUCCUUUGUUGCCAGCGAUUUGGUCGGGAACUCAAAGGAGACUGCCGGUGAUAAACCGGAGGAAGGUGGGGAUGACGUCAAGUCAUCAUGGCCCUUACGAGUAGGGCUACACACGUGCUACAAUGGCGCAUACAAAGAGAAGCGACCUCGCGAGAGCAAGCGGACCUCAUAAAGUGCGUCGUAGUCCGGAUUGGAGUCUGCAACUCGACUCCAUGAAGUCGGAAUCGCUAGUAAUCGUAGAUCAGAAUGCUACGGUGAAUACGUUCCCGGGCCUUGUACACACCGCCCGUCACACCAUGGGAGUGGGUUGCAAAAGAAGUAGGUA
rnacentral:rRNA from 2 species